rnacentral:rRNA from 1 species
GACGAACGCUGGCGGCGUGCUUAACACAUGCAAGUCGAACGGAAAGACCCUGCUUUUGUUGGGUUCUCGAGUGGCGAACGGGUGAGUAACACGUGUGUAACCUGCCCUUGUCUUUGGGAUAACUUCAGGAAACUGGGGCUAAUACCGGAUAGGAGCUCCUGCUGCAUGGUGGUGGUUGGAAAGUUUCGGCGGUUGGGGAUGGACUCGCGGCUUAUCAGCUUGUUGGUGGGGUAGUGGCUUACAAAGGGUUUGACGGGUAGCCGGCCUGAGAGGCUGACCGGCGACCAGGGGACUGCGAGACGGACCAGACUCCUACGGGAGGCAGCAGUGGGGAGUAUUGCACAAUGGGCGGAAGUCUGAUGCAGCAACGCCGCGUGCGGGAUGACGGCCUUCGGGUUGUAAACCGCUUUCGCCUGUGACGAAGCGUGAGUGACGGUAAUGGGUAAAGAAGCACCGGCUAACUACGUG